UGCUGCGCCUGAGCCCCAAGACCCUGGCACCUGGGCGCGCGCUCUGGCGCAGUGCCCGGUGCGAUGUCCGCGUCAGCCUCUCUCCUCCGGGAGAGGCAGGGAGUGUCACGCCCAUUUUACCAGCGGGCAAACUGAGGCUCAGGGAUGCUGGGUGAUUUGCCCGAGGACGCACACAGAGGGAAGGGCCAAGCCGGGAUUCCAACUCGGGACUCCCCGCUUCUUGGGGAGACCGGUGAGGCCCCCGCGACACGGCCCUCCCAUCCCCAAGCCUCUCGUGCAGAUCUCCGCUCUGUGGGGCUUGAUUGCGGGCUGCGGGCCCGUGGCUCCUGCAGGCAGAGAGAGGACGGGAGAGGAGACGGCGACGAGGCUUGGCCGCAGAGAGUGAGAAAGCAGAUCAAAGUUACAAAUUCUGCGAGAACAUCGCCAAGCAGAAUCUUGGGUGCUGUCCCCACCUCUCUGUACCUGCUCCCUCCCAGAGAAGCCAGCCUCCACUUGCUGUCCCGGGCCUUCUCUGAGAAAAGUUGAAGGAGCACAUGUCCUUGCGCAGGAAGAGGCUGUUCAGCGUGACCGCCCCGAUCAAGAAGAAGAGCUGCUUCACCGCCUGCCUCACGAGCUCGGGGUCCAGGCCGUUCUGGCACAUGGUGGUGUAAAAGUAGCUCAGCUGCUGCAGGACGGAGGUCAUGGUGUAGCCGUCCGUGUCGUCUACGCUGGAGGAGCGCUUCCGGAAGCCUGUGGGCUUCAGGCCGGAAAUGCCCUGCAGGCUCUCAUACUCCAGCAUUCCCGGAACUGCGGAGAGACAGGGAGGCUGUGCUGACAUGCCAGGAGACAAACGCGGAACGUUCCCGACGCUCUUCGGUUUGUUUCAGGAGAUGGGACAUUUUUCUACAAGAGUCAGUGGAUGUACUUAUGAUAGAGAAAGCAAAAGAAUCAAAGGUUUGGGACACCAGGGUGUGUGUCAGGGGUAGGGAUGGACGGCUGUUUCCAGCAGGGCUGCAGCUCCUCUUCUAGGUUUGAAGCAGCACGUUUUUCAGCUUCACAGGAAAGAAAGCUGGUUAGCAUCACAACCCAUGGCCUGGGCAUUAAAGCCUAAAGUAUUUAAAUUUCAGGAAAUUAAGGAAAGUAUACAAGAAUUCGAAUGGGGCUUUAGGAUUUCAAAAAUACUUGGCUAAGCCAAGAAGUAGAAGUACCACAUAAAUAGCAGUAGCAGAAGUUUCCCCAAGUUUUUUCCUUCAGGAUAAAUCAUCCUUAUAGAAAGAAAACUACCAACAGCAUACUAUUAUUUAUGGAAUCAUAAGCAAGCAAAGAAUUAAAAGGCAGAUACCUACAUGAUUAUAUUUCCUUGGCUUUUUAAACAAUGUUACACAUAAUCACACAUUACACAUACCAAGUUUAUGUUUUAAAAAGUCUUAAUGUUACUAUAAAUAUUUUUUGGUCAUCAAUUCUCUUCUUACCUAUUAUCGGUUGGAUAUUCUUUUCCGUUACGAUAAUAAAUUGAUGAUAUAUUCGUAUAGCCAC